GCCAAGGUUCUUCUUAGAACCAUUAAUCCACAAAGUAUGUAGCCAU
rfam:Myotis lucifugus cont2.23598, whole genome shotgun sequence.